AAAUUAUAUUAUUUGAAAAAAUAAAAAGGUGGCCAUAUGAUUGGAUGCACACGUCUGUCCUUAGCUUCAAGAUUGCUUUUUACUAUAUAUGAAUAUGAUUAUGAACAGACCAUUUGAUUUCUUGUAGGAAACAUGUCAAGUAGAGAAUAAUGAGCAACACGAUGGGCAAAGUGACUACUUCGAAAGUAGAGAGCAAAGGAUAAAGGAAAACAAGUUGGAAAUGUGGAAAAUUGGCCUGCUUACCAAAUCAGAGGCAACAAUUGUUGCUCUGUUCUUCUUGGGAAUACCAAAAUUGCAAAAUGUGCAAAUGAAGGUUUUGAAGCAAGCUUGCUUAAACAACAAUGUCCCCUUCACAAAACUCUCCAAGAAGAACCAUUUGUGUGAACUUCUUGGGGAGUUUUCAUACGAAGAAGAAAUAAUAAUAAGAAAAAAUGACGAUGAAGGUUUUACUUAUAGCAACCUUAAAUCCAUGAUCACAGAUAUUUGAGUCCGAGUUCACAAUUUUUUUUAUUGCUGCUUUUUUACCAGUUUUUCCAUGUGCAUCCCUUGGUAGAUUGUAGAAUGACAGCAAUUUUUGGGUCAAUUGAAUGCUCUGAAACAUAUUUUUUUAUGAUUGUUGUGCGAUGACAAUUU